GAAAAAAUUGUACUCAGCUGUUUGCGGUACUUACUUUUACUUUAAUUGGCUAUGACAGAACAUUUGUUCCACUAGCCGAAUGUAGAAAAGCGUUUCAAGCGCCUCGAUCUUCUGCGUUCAUUCUAAAAUCUCUGACACCAAGUUUUGAGGUGUCUCACACCACUUGAUCAUUCCAUCGGACUUUUGGUCUUCCACCGUGUUUGCCUUCAAAAGACUUCUUCGCUGGAGCUUCUUCAUCCAUUCUGACAACAUGACCUAGCCAACGCAGCCGUUAUAUUUUGAUGCGUGUAACUAUGCUAUCGUCGUCAUACAACUCAUACAGCUCGUGGUUCACACGUCGGCUAUAUUCUCCAUUAACGCAAACUGGUCCAUAUAUUUUACGAAGAAUCUUUCUCUCAAAUACUCCAAGCACUGCAUCAUCUGCUUUCACAAGUACCUACAUAUGCUUCAGAACCAUAUAACAGCACGGGUAGUAUCAGUGUCUUGUAUGGUGUAAUCUUCGUCUGUCGAGAGGGGACCUUGUUUCUAAACUGCCUACUUAGUCCAAAGUAGCAUCUAUUUGCCAGUAUUAUUCUUCGCGUUAUCUCAAAACUGGUGUCAUUCGUUUCGGUUACGGCGGUGCCGUGGUAGAUAAUGUUACUGACUGUCUCAAAGUUGUAGUUCCCAACUUUCUCCAUUUUCUUUGUCUGCUCGGUUGUGCAAGGCUUUUUGGGAGUUGAAACCAUCCAUUUCGUCUAAUCUCCAUUUACUGCCCGACCCAUUUUAUCUGACUCACUUUCAAUUCUUUCAAAGGCUGCAGUUACUACUUCCGGUGACCGACCUAUGAUAUAGAUGUUCUCUUGUGAUAAGUGUGCCAUAUCUAUUCACAUCUGCAACUCGUAUAAUCUGCUCCAACAGGAUAUAUGUAGAAGAGAUCUCCUUGUCUGAAACCUCGUUUGGUAUUGAAUGGUUCGGAGAGAUUCUUUCCUAUUUUUACUGAGGAACGCGUAUAAGCAAGUGUCAUCCUGCAGUCUUAUUAAUCUUGCAGAGAUACCAAACAUAGCCAUGGCUUGAAAUACCUUUGGACGUAAUGGAGUAUCGAAAGCGGCUUGUAGUCAACAAGAGAUGGUAGGUGUUGAUUUGUCCUUCUCGGGUCUUUUCCAGGAUUUGGCGCAAUGGGAAUAUCUGGUCCAGGGUGGAUUUACCAGGUCUAAAGUCCGAUUAUCUCAUUGCCUUUAGGUUUAAUCUUUCACACAGAACGCUCGAGAGUAUCUUGUAUGCGAUGGGGAGGAGUCUUAUUACUCUGAUAAUUGUGUCAUGCGUGCACCUAUGGUGUCGUUAGUGUCAUGAACAGCUUAAAAUGUAAACAAUGAUGCGGCAAUCUUACACUAACAGAAAAAAGUCAUUAUCAUACACAGACGUUAUUGGAAAUAUAUAAACAUCUUGGACGAGGAAAACUGAAAAAACGUGUACAAUACAUGAUAGAAGUGUUAUUUCAAUGGCUCCAAGGAUCGAUCAUCAGUCAGAAGAUGUUUUGAGGCUGCAUAAUUCGGCUUAUGCAGCCCUUUAGUCCCCGCCUUUAGACUGUAUCCCGAUUAAAAUUUUACAAAGUGGGUAUAAAGCAGCGAUUCCCGAAAUGAAGGAGUGACUGUAUGUGUGAGAUACUCCCUUUAAGUAUUUUCCGUUCUCUCAAUGUGUAAAAAUUAUUUUUUUGAACUGAAUGAUUGAUGUUUCGCGGAAAUGAACACAAAAUAAGAACAUUUUUAUACUUUGUCAUUCAUACCUUCCAAGCGUUAAA